UAAUCUACGUAUACAGGUGUUUCCAUUUGGAAGUGUUUCCUUUCUUUCACAUUCAAACUUUGGGGGGCUUAUGAUCUGACCCCCCUGGCCUCCUUUGGGACAUGGGGGACAGGGUCUCCCAACGGUUAUUUGACCUUUUUGACCCCCCAUGUCUCCUUUGGGACCGGGGGGACCAGGUCUCUCACGUUCUCGUGGUCCAUGCUUUUUGAUACAACCAAACAUGCAACGUAUGCCUUUACUGGGACAUACCAACGAUGAAUCCUUCGGACGAUUUUUGACGCAUCUCGCAAACUUUGGAGUUUCACAUUUCUGACAACACUUGAAAAUAUCAUACAUCAGUUGAUAUUCGCCCUUGUAUUUCAUAAAACUUGGAUGCACACAGUUAAAUGGCCAUUUUGUUGUCUAUAUUCAAAUGGAGAGAAUUGUCUUAGACUAAGCAACUAUGGUCAUUAUUGGGUAUAAAAGAAAAUGACUUGAGUCAAGAUGAAACUUUGUAAUCUUUUGAAUGAUAAUUCCUUCGUGUUAUGAUGGCUUCCCGAAAGCAAUUAGUCGGCUAACAAUGUUAUUUUCAGAACUUGUUUACUCUGAAUGGUCUGACAUUUCAACGGCUGCAUAAAUAUGGUAUUGACGAACGCUGAAAACUUUGGAAUAGUCCUAGUGUUUAUCUGACGUACAAGUUUCUUAACAAUCAAUUAAGUCCUUCUUUCUCUGCUGUGUAACAUCAUCAAGUCAAUUUGUUUGGUUUCAUUACAAAAGAGCAAUGCAAAGAAUACCGUCGAGCCUUUCUUAACCUUCCGAGCGCUUGCUGCGACCUUGUUUCGAAAUCGAAGCUAUUAAUUGUGAUUCAUAGCAGUAUCUACGAAUGAUGUGACUUUAACACAAGAGAGUUACAACAGCUUCAUUGACCUACAAGAUAAGCUGCAUCAGAACAUUUGUCGAAAGCGAACAUUGGUAGCUAUAGGCACUCAUGACCUUGACACCGUCAAAGGACCUUUUCUGUAUGAUGCGAGAACUCCACAAGACAUAAAAUUUGUGCCCUUGAAUAAGCAUAAGGAAUAUACAGCUGUCGAGAUGAUGGAUCUUUAUCAGGAUUUAAUCUUAUCUCAGUCAUUCAGGAUGUUUUAACUGAAGCGACCAUUCGGCAGCUGAAAGGAUGUUUUGAGACAUCACUGGAGGUUUAUUUAUCUUUACGUGGAAAAUAAAGGUCAUUGAAUUCUUGUGGACUUAAUCUUAUCUCAGUCAUUCAGGAUGUUUUAAUUGAAGCGACCAUUCGGCAGCUGAAAGGAUGUUUUGAAACAUCACUGGAGGUUUAUUUAUCUUUACGUGGAAAAUAAAGGUCAUUGAAUUCUUGUGGACUUAAUCUUAUCUCAGUCAUUCAGGAUGUUUUAACUGAAGCGAACAUUCCGCAGCUGAAAGGAUGUUUUGAAACAUCACUGGAGGCUCAUUUAUCUUUACGUGGAAAAUGGAGAUCAUUGAAUUCUUGUGGUUCUGACAUUGUCAAGAAAGUGAUUUGAAUUUUACAACUGUGAAAUGUGGCAGAUCAUUUGAAAUUAAUGGACCGAGAAAGGUAACCGACCGUUUAUCAUUUUACU